UGCUGGGUUCGUUUUAUUCAGCGGCAGUGGUGCUUUACCGAAUCUCAGAAUGCCUGUUAAAAGAUCACUGAAAUUGGAUGGUCUGUUAGAAGAAAAUUCAUUUGAUCCUUCAGAAAUCACAAGGAAGAAAAGUGUUAUAACUUAUUCUCCAACAACUGGAACUUGUCAAAUGAGUCUAUUUGCUUCUCCCACAAGCUCUGAAGAGCAAAAGCACAGAAAUGGACUAUCAAAUGAAAAGAGAAAAAAAUUGAAUCAUCCCAGUUUAACUGAAAGCAAAGAAUCUACAACAAAAGACAAUGAUGAAUUCAUGAUGUUGCUAUCAAAAGUUGAGAAAUUGUCAGAAGAAAUCAUGGAGAUAAUGCAAAAUUUAAGUAGUAUACAGGCUUUGGAGGGCAGUAGAGAGCUUGAAAAUCUCAUUGGAAUCUCCUGUGCAUCACGUUUCUUAAAAAGAGAAAUGCAGAAAACCAAAGAACUAAUGACAAAAGUAAAUAAACAAAAACUGUUUGAAAAGAGUACAGGACUUCCUCACAAAGGCAUUAAGGCUGACUUGCCCAUUACCAGAUUUUCCCAAAGGACUGAGUUCCUGCAUACAGGAGACUGUAUCACUAAACCAUGUUUGUAAAUUUCUAAUAAUCAUUGAUUUAAAUGAAAACGCAGUUUAAAAAAUAUAUAAUACAUAGUAUCUAUAUAAGUAUGUCAUAUAUUAAUGGGUGUUCUAUUCUAUUCUAUGUAGUCAUCGUCCAAUUCUGUUUCUUGGCAGGAGCUACAUUAGCUCUUUAUAUUUCCUGAGGUAUUAAAAACUUCAUUAGCUUUUUAACUAAUUUUGGGAAAUUCAUAUUGCCUAAAAAAUAGAUUAAAGCUUAUUUUUGUUG
rnacentral:sRNA from 1 species